GAUCCCGUGGUCUAGUGGUUAGAGCAUCCGCCUCAGAUGCGGAAGGUCAUGGGUUUGAUCCCCAGUUGAGUCA